GUUGGAACUAGAUGAUCUUUUAGGUCCCUUCCAAUCCAACUGCUCUCUGAUUCUAUGAAUAAUGCACAAUAGAUGAACCACAUUGCUGGGUCUCAAAAUUCCUUACACACAAGUAAUCUUAAGUGUUCUAUGCAACCCCGAAAAGUCAUUAGCAUCGUCAGAUGUUGAACAUGGUUGAAAAAUGAUGUAGAGGGUGCAAAAAAAAAAAAAAAAUCAGCGUAGUUUCCAUUACAUGGAUGGGCAUGGCUGGGAUUGCAGCAAAUUUAACCCUUUCGUAUAAUCACCAGACAUAAGAUUUCCUAUUUUAAACAAUAAAAUUUCACUCCCAUUGUAAAGCCCGAUAGUUUACCAAAUAGUAGUCCUUCCCACAAGCAGAAGCUAGAAAGCAGGAACAGGUAGUCUGUGAUACAUGACAUAUGCUCAAAGGCAUUUAAUGUCUUGUCAUUUAGCCACAAUGGCCUCCCCAUGCCUGGAAGUGCUUUGUAUCAAUAACCUCAAUCCUUGUGCUGUCUCUGCAGAUGAAGCUGUGAGUGGAGUUUACUUGGAGUGGCAGAGCUGGGCAGCUUCACUGCUGCAGACCCACACUCAGGCAGCACCCACUCCACAAAGAUGCCUGUGGCAGUUUGCAAAAACAGUCUCCCCUCCAGAGAAGUGAUGCUGCUCUGAGCAUGACCCCUCUUGCCUGCUGACUGACUGCAUGCACCGGUGCAAUGCCAAUACCUGGAGCAAAUCAGAGAAAAUCCUUGUAUGAGUCUGCUGGCCAAAUUCAUGUUCAUGGCUUUUCAUACAGGCUGUGGUAUUUUUCCAGCAGCAGCACUGAGAUUUUUGAAGAGGAUAUUCAAUGAUCUUCAGUCACACCUGGACAUUCUCCUCUCUGCCAGCAGCCGUCUUCUUCAAGGUGGAGCUGGUGGAAUAUGGAAAACUGUUUUGAUUGAGAAGAAGUGACGGAACGAAGCUAUUGGGUGCUGUGAAGGUAACUGGGGUGGCCCUGAGAGUGCCAACAUGUGUUGGCAGCCUUGGGGUUAGUGAGCUGAACUCCAUCCUCCUUUCACAGACAAGGAGGAAUCCCAGCCAUCUGUAGGCUGCAGAAAACCUUGCUCUCUGACAGGACAUUGAAGGCAGCCCUAAAAACUUGUUUUCUAAUAUUCUCGAUUUGGUGCAUAUUUAGAGAGAUGAAUCACACAUAUUUUAAAUCAAAAUAAAACAUUUAUUUGAUGUUGCUUUUUAAUUGUAUUUGAAUUGCAAAAUGCCCCAUGAUGUGCUUUGUUAAGAAUACUGUGUAUUAGUAUUAAUAUUGUUGUUAGAAGCAAUAACGAUCAAAGCUUGUUUCUCAAAAUAGUGAUGCAUACUAAGUUAUUCAAACACAAACACAAAAUAGCACAUGUAGAUACAUGCUCAGACUGCAGUGUGUGAUAUUACUUGCCUCUGACAUUUCCAGAAAGACACAAGCAAAAUAUGAAUGGUAGCUGUGAAACCCUUACAACUUUAUGAUGCAUCGGGAAAGAGCAGAAAUAUAAAUGCACUCACAAAAGUUUACAUUUCAGAGAAAAUUGAAAUAAAGUAAUUUACAAUCCUCCAGCUUUGCAAGGUGGGGAAAGAUCACACACACACACAUAUAUAUGAGAAUUACAAAAUAUAUAUGAGCCCUUCUAGUGGGAUGUAGAGCAAGAAAAGACUCAUGAGGAUCAAUAUUCUAUGCGAGCAAAUUGACGCAUAUGAAAAGAGAAGUUGCUCAUUUUCAGGUCCCUAUGGGAACAAGUUUUAGAUUAUUAUAUGACAAAAAGACCUUUUAGGAUCUAUGAAAACACACUCCAAAAUGUCAAAUGCAUAGAAGCCAGCUUCACCUGUAAUGAUAAAAGCAGCACAUCCUGUAACCUUUCUAGAAACAGAUUUACUAAACACAUUAGCUGAAUUUUACAGCACUGUAAAUGUCUAUUGUACUGUACUGGUAGGGAGGUCUGCUGAACAAAUACUGGUGUCAUGCUAUAUGUCAGAAUGCUGUAGGAUGCUUCGGGAUUUCCUAUGGAAAGAAACUUAUAGGCAGGGUACAUUUGGAGGAUCCCAGAGGGGACAGCCUCAGGGAGGGGGAAUUAUAAAGGCAGGCUGACCAGAAUUUCUUAACUGGGAGGUUCUUGCAAACUGCUAUUUUAAAACAGUAUGCAAAUGCUUCUACCCAGAACAGCCCCUGCUUUGGGUGCAGGAGAAAUGUACAUGUUUGUCUCCGCCCCUCAGCAGUGGAAGGCGAUGAGGGUGGAAUCCAGGUCAUCACAGCCUCUGCUUCGAAGGCCACCAGCUACCACCAUGGGCUUCUUCACGGGUCUGCUUUCCCAGCCCUUGAUUUGGGGCUUUCAAGUGAAAAAAGGUGGAGUGGUGACUGGUUUGCAGGCUCCCAGGCAAGAUAGUGGGCAUGGCUCAGGCACAGCAGAAGCAGGUUCCUGCACCAUGUUCUUGUCAGAUAAUGUCUCUCAAUUUAGCAAUAUAGCAUUGUCCUAUUUCGACUGGCAAACUGGGCAGCAGUUCAUUGGAGGGCUUAAAACCAGCAGGUUUUGGCUUAGAUUGCUACAUGAUCUAUCAAGUCAACUAUCCAGAAUACCAUGUCAUAUGUUUUAUGAAGAAAGAUUAAAGCUUUAAAAAAAUAGAUUGUCACUUGAUGUGAAAAGGGUUCCUAUACUCAGUGUGCACAACACAGGCACGUUAAGCAGAGAGUAUACUUAAACAGAUUAUACUUAUACAGACUCUGAAGACAGAGUUCUGGAUUACACUGGUAACCUUCCUUUUAGACAUGCCUGAACAACUGACAUAGGUUGGCAUAUAAACAUAUACACAAACGGAAGUGAACCGUGGGGAUAUCUGACCAUAGGUGUAGCUCUGGAAAAUCCCAAGCCAUAUCCCCUAAGCAAGUUUAAAAUUUCUAAACAAGAACACAAGUAAACGUAGUUGUAGACAGAAGGAGCUACAGUUUGUUGGCUUUGCUAAGAUGUUAUGAAGCUAUGGUGCCCAGCACUGCUGGAUUACACCCCACAGCUUCCCCACCACAGAAGCAAGCUGAAAUUAAUGGUUACAUUAGGUGUAGGAUGGAUCUGCGUUUCUGUGUGUAGAAAAUGCAGACAUGUAGGUUACAUUACAGAGUGAUAAGCAGCCAAUCUAUAUGGUUGUAUCUAUUUUUUUAACUUUUAUUUUUCUUCCUAUAACAAAUCUUGUUUUUCCUGUCUUACGAACAGCUAGCAGCUUCUGUUUCUUGCCUCAGUGUUUAUACAAAUCAGAGGAGGAACAAAUUUAACACGGCUUUAGCUUUAUUAGUUCAGGUUUCAGACUGAGAUAUCUUGUGUCAUUAAGACUGUCCAGCUUGUUUCAGCAUAGUUCUUUCUGAGUUCAUACCCAUGUGAUGCCAAGCUAAUGUGCAACUGCAGAUAUGCCACUUGCUUUUGUUCUUCUCUGUUCACUGGUACUGGAAAAGUGUUUAGCGUGAGGGCAAGAAAACAAAACAAACCUGUCUGACCAUUCGGAAACUUUCUAGUUGUGAAUACAGCUGCCAAUUCUGACACAGCCAGGGAGAAAGACGACUUCAAAAUGUGUUAUGUCUGGCUGGGAUGAGAGCCAGAUUAUUAACAGGAUGACUUGUUUUGUGAGAGUAAGGGAAAAAUUCAAUACUACCUAUGCUUUCCAGCCCCUCUCUCAGUUCUGAUGCCUGGAGUCUUUGAACUGAUAUUUGAUUACUUAUGAAUGUACAAUAACCAAACAGUGGCACUAAAUUGAGAGACAUUAUCUUCCCAGUUGACACAGAGGGGCCACACAGUCCGUUUCUCCAUUUGUUUUUUUUUAAUACACUUGAAUGACAAGCUGCUGAUAAAAAUAAAUACUUUGUGACAAGGGAAGAAAUAUGACUUGAGGGUGUCAGUGUUGGAAUGAGUAUCACAGAAGUCUCCAUCACAGCUGUUAAAUGUGGAGUGGCAUCAAAAACUGCACAGCUCAAUAAAUGGCCAUUAUACAGCCUAUAUCUAUAAUCAGGGCACCCUAUCUGUAGUCUUAUAGCUCUGUGCAUAUAUGAGGGCAAAAUAUUUCUAAUAUCUGAAAUUUGCUUCACCUAAGCCUUGGCUUUCAGACAACAAUGGUUUAUUUCAAAUUGGAUGUCUUCCUAAAUCAGUUUUCUUCUUAUCUUUGUCGGAUUAUUUUCACACUGUGUAUCUAACAGUCCAUUAUUAAGCCAUACUUUCCAGUUUUUUUUUGGUUUUGAAUUAAUUUCAUGUAGGAAAUGAGAGUUAAAAAAAUUCUAAUUUUCUAUGAGUAUUCUGUAAAUGGGUAAGUGUAUGUGUGACAGUAUGAGAGCAGGCAUGGCACCACAAUUCAAAAAAAAUGCAAGGUGACAGAAUUUGCCUUCUAUACACUAUUAAAUUUUCAUUUUAUAAAACAGUACGUAGUAAUGACACUUCCUUUCUAUAAAUAUCCAAGAAUUAAUUUCUUUCCUUCAGUGGAAAACUAUGAAUUCCUACUAAUGUGUAACAUUUUCGGCUCCGCUUUUUGUCCAUAUUAUUCCUUCCAUCUUUAACAGCUCCCUGGCCCCAAAUCCUGAACUUCCUUCACAGUUUGUGUUUGUUUUGAAAAUACUUCCUCUUUGGUCUGAUGAAUUACUUUUUAUAAAUGUCUUAGCUUUUUACUCCUCCACUCUUUUGCAUUCUGUGGCUUUAAUUUUUAACGAAGAUUUAUUGAUAGUUUUCAGGGGUUUUAGAAAUGGCAUUUUUACAAGAAUUUGAAGAGACAUGUAUGGGAUUUGCAUUAUUAAUGCUGUUUUUAUCAUUAUUAUUAAUACUACCUGUUCGCUGGUAUACAUUUUUUCAUUUGAAUCAUCAACUUACAAAACACUAAAAACACAUUGCAAUGCAUGAGUGGCAAGAAAGUUAGCCUAGCCUCAUUCAUAGCCAAUGUAUCUUUAGGGCCUUAAGCUUUCUCUUUUUAAAGUUACAUGUGGAAAGAAAUAUCACCUACAAUUUAGAUCUUCUUUAAAUGAAAGCUGAUAUUCCAGAUGUGGAAUUAAAGUUUGUAAUCUUAUAUUGGAUGCUGAAAUUUCAGAGAGUUGACGCUGUGAGUUGUGGUAACCAAAGGACACGCUGUGGAGUGAUAAAUACCUUCAGUGGAAACCCAUUAGAAAUAAAACCAAGAAAUAUAAACAGAAA